CAGGGGAUGGGGACACUCCGGGGUGACCUUAUCCCACACCAGCAGGGAGCCCUGAGGAGGCUGGAGAGGGACUUUGGGCAUCAGGUGAUAGGCAAAAGGGGAAUGGCUGCACACCAAGAGAGAGUAGGUUCAGGUUGGAUUACAGGACAAAAUGAUGGUGGUGGAACAGGCUGCUCAAAGAAGCUGUGGAUGGAAUGGUUCAAGGCCAGCUUGGAGCAGCCUGGGAUGGUGGAAGGUGUCCUUGCCUGUGGUGAGGGGGGUGAGGUUGGAACUGGAUGUUCUUUGAUGUCUGUUCCAACCCAAACUGUUUGUGAUUCUAUGAAAACCUGCGUCCUGCCUCUCCAGGGGCACCCCCAGCCCUUUUCCUCCUGCCUGUGCCCCCAUUUUCUUUAUUGCUCCUGAUGCACCCACAGCAAUGAGGGCACAGCAGAAGGGAGGCUGUGAGACUCCAAAAAUAAAGGACAGGGUCUGCCUUCAUUUAAUUUAAAAAAUCACAGCCACAGACUUCUCUAAGGGAUCCCUGCCCCCUAAGUGCUGUUCUGAGAGCUUUAACAGAGGCCAGGGAGGGAUCUGACCAUCUGCAAGCCAUCCCCCCAGCUUGGUCAGUCUUGGCUUGGACUCAGUUAUCUCAGAGGCCUUUUCCAAUCUGAUUGAUUCUGAUUUUGGCUCUGAUUCAGCUGCAAGUUGCUUCCCCCCACCAUCAUCAGCCCCUUCUACUAAGCCCAAAUUACAACCCCUCUUACAGCCCUCCUCACCUUCAAGCCUUCAGCUCCCAGCACACAUUUUCUUCCCCAGCGCUGGAGGGAUUUCUCUUGCAUGAGCUCCCAGCUCUCUGUUGCUCCUCUUCUCCCCCAGGAAAAGUUCCCUCUGGGUGUCCUCAUCCAUCCCAGCAGGGACAGGGCCCACCCACACCACACAUCUGGAAGAUGCCUCUACCCCAGGCCAGACAGAGGUUUAGUCUGCAUUUGCCCUUUCUCCAUCCUGGCAGGAUUUAGGAUAGUUGGGAAUGCAGGCUGGGAAGUGUUUUAGGACAUUUGGAUCAGCUGGGCUGUUCUGGACGAGGUACCCAGGUGACAGAUUGAAAUCUGCAGAGAUUUCGAAAGAAGCUUUGGAACCACAUCCUGCACCUUCAUCCAUUGCAGAGAGGACAAAAACAUCAUUCUCAAGUGGCACCAGCCUGGAGACUGUCCAAGAGACUUGAUGGACUUGGAGAUGUAGACUCUUGAACACCACAGAUCUCAAGGGCCAGGAUGCCACUGCCUUCCCUGCAAUCACUGAGAGGGGUUGCCACGGACUGGGUACAAGCCCUGAGAGAUUUGAUGAACAAUACAGCCAAAACAAAACCACAAAAUAUGGAACACCCCCAGUCUGUCUCACCAUGAGCCUAAAGGACUGUAAAUUUAAAGACACAAUACAGAUCCUAACUCCUUAUGUUACAGAAGCAGACUGCUCUAGAGGGCUUAAGGGUGCCCAGCAUACCCUCCACAACUGCUCCAAAAACUUCCCCAAAACCUAUAAAAUCAACUCUGAACAUUUCAAGGUCAGAUUGGUUGAACAACAAAUACUGUUUAAUCCUAGUCCUUAAAGAGAUGCAGACCAAUGUUUCUGCUAUCAGACCAAAAUGUUCAUCUUUUACAGGUACCUCCUCUGCUGGGUGGUUUUCCUGGUAAACCAGAGGUUGUUACCUCACACAUCUAACUGAUAUAUUGGGAACUGGAAUAGGAGUAUUGAACAAUAUUAGUCUUGAAACUCUGACUGCUCAAUUGGGUGCAACCAUUAAUAAUUUGAACACUACAGAUCAACCCUGAAGGUCUUCCUUAUCUGCUCUUAGAAACACACAGUGAUCAGCUUCAAAUAUCAAAAAUAUCCACAUGUUAAUGACCAA